rnacentral:rRNA from 1 species
AUUGAACGCUGGCGGCAUGCCUAACACAUGCAAGUCGAGCGGCAGCAUGACAUGUAGCAAUACAUGUUGAUGGCGAGCGGCGGACGGGUGAGUAAUGCAUGGGAAUCUGCCCAGUAGCGGGGGACAACCCGGAGAAAUCCGGGCUAAUACCGCAUACGCCCUACGGGGAAAGCGGGGGACCGAAAGGCCUCGCACUAUUG